ACUUCCCCUACGUCUACGUCUUGGCCUCGGUGAUGCUCAACGUGCGCCUGCAGGUGCGGAUCGAGUGAGCGCCCGCCGCCACCGCCGCCGGGCCACGACAGCAGGGGCGCGGGCAUGAGGGACGGCGGGGCCAGGGGCCACCUAGACGGGCGGGAAGGAAUCGAGACCGCUCGGGCCCCCGGGCCUUAGACCUCCGCGGAGGACACGGCCACCGAGCUCGGACCUGGCCGCGACCCGCCCACCCACGUCGCGGCUGGAGCCGCGGCGCACAGAAACCCGCGAAACGGGCCCUUUGCAUUGGCCUCGACCUGUUGCCUCCCCUUGGCCGAAGAGGAAAGCAGAAGGAAGACAUUCUUCAGCCGGAAAGUGAAAGACUGGCCCGGACCCAAAAGGUAGGAGGCCAGAGGUUGGACUUGUGGGCUGGAGGGAGGGAGGCGGUUGCCAUGACAUCUAGAGGUCCAGGCACCUCGGUAGUUUGACGGCCACGUGGAAGGGUCCCCAGGAAGCCAGCUAGGAAAGCUGCCGAAGCAAGUGCAGGCAGGACGGACGGAGGCUCUCCAGCCUCCCUUGUCAUGACCCCAAGAUGGGGAUGAGGGCGGCCUGGGCAUCUCGGAGGGUCAGCUCAUCACCCACGGAGGCGCUGGCCGUCUCUCGCGCCCACAGCCCGGGUGGUGUCCCUGAACAUGGGGGAGUGGAGGGAGGGGGUGGGGAGGCAGGCAGAAGGCCCCCCGCGGAGAGAAGGAAGAUGCUGCCACCCGUCUCCUCCACCCCCUGGGAGGCCGCCUGGAAGGAUGGCUGUGUUCUUGGCCAAACCCCAAGUCUGUCUCCUUCUCAGCUUUUCACAAAGCUGCCUCCUGCCUGGCCUCUGGGGCCAGAGGACUGCCCUCUGCCUGCUCCUGCUGUCCCUGUCGCUCGCCUCCCUGCUCCCCGAGGGCGUCCUGCAAAGCGGGCAUCCGGGGACAGGGAGGAGUGGGAAAGACGCUUCCUCCUUCCCUGCAUGGCCUCUGGCAGCCCCCGUGUCCCGAAGGAUUUGAGCGGAGGGCAGCUCUCGGGCUGGGGUGGGAGAGCAGGUGGGGAAGAGGCUUGUAGAGGAGGCGACACUUGGGGACACAGGGACCUCUCUGAAUGGGGAGGCAGCUCUCAAGUCAGCGUUUCUUUCUUUCAGGACCUGGUGUUACAGGAGGUGACCCGCUCCUUCUCUGGUCUCCUCCAGGGAGGCAAGGUGGGCCCAGAGCUGCCUGGGGAGCAGCCAAGAGAAGGGCCCGACCCAGGAGGAGAGGAAGGGCCUUCCAGGCUGGCCCACCUGCCCAGGAUCGCCUGGGAGAAUCUCCACUAGCGGGGCUCCCGUGGUCCUGGAGGCCCGGC
rnacentral:lncRNA from 1 species